ACUCAAAUGAAUAGACGGGGGCCCGCACAAGCGGUGGAGCAUGCGGUUUAAUUCGAUGCAACGCGAAGAACCUUACCUGCUCUUGACAUACUUGGAAUCCCCUGGUAACAGGGGAGUGCCUUCGGGAACCGAGAUACAGGUGCUGCAUGGCUGUCGUCAGCUCGUGUCGUGAGAUGUUGGGUUAAGUCCCGUAACGAGCGCAACCCUCGUCCUUAGUUGCCAGCACGUAAUGGUGGGAACUCUAAGGAGACCGCCGGUGAUAAACCGGAGGAAGGUGGGGAUGAUGUCAAGUCAUCAUGGCCCUUACGAGCAGGGCUACACGCGUGCUACAAUGGGCAGUACAAAGGGUUGCGAAGCCGCGAGGUGGAGCUAAUCCCAAAAAGCUGUUCGUAGUCCGGAUUGGAGUCUGCAACUCGACUCCAUGAAGUUGGAAUCGCUAGUAAUCGCGAAUCAGAACGUCGCGGUGAAUACGUUCUCGGGCCUUGUACACACCGCCCGU
rnacentral:rRNA from 1 species